UCCACCCUUCCCUGUUGUUUAUAGGAAACGUCUUCGCACUCACUUGCACGAGCGCAAUAUUUCUCAAGCACGUCAAAAACAGGCUUUCUUUUGGGAGAAUAUAACGACGUAUUUAACAGUCCCUCAGUGGUAUGUGUGGAGGAAUUUGAUAAAUAUUACAAAACACAAUUUAAAUAAGAUCAUCCCCUCUAAUCUGCUCACUAACAAUUCAGUCCGAUAAGUGGCGGUAAUGCGGCAGGAUCCUGGUUGUUAACCGCCAUUCACCUCAAAGACGAUGAAGAAAGUUGUUUGCGGAAGCGAUGGUGAAAUCUGGCAAACUCAUGUCAUGUGAUGGCGCGAGCGACUAAACUGAGAUGGAGGCAUUAGCGAACACCCGCAACCAAACGAUGGAAGAAAUCAAAGAUUCUCCAGACUAUAACUGGUUCAGAAGCACAGUUCCUCUAAAAAGAAUUAUUGUUGAUGAUGAUGACAGCAAAGUGUGGUCCUUGUAUGAUGCAGGCCCGAAGAGCAUCAGGUGCCCUAUCAUGUUCCUUCCGCCUGUCAGUGGAACUGCAGAAGUGUUCUUCCAACAGAUGUUGGCUUUGACAGGCUGGGGCUACAGAGUAAUAUCUCUUCAGUAUCCAGUGUACUGGGAUCUCAUGGAGUUCUGUGAUGGAUUUAGGAAGCUUCUCGAUCACUUGCAGUUAGAUAAAGUUCAUCUUUUUGGUGCAUCCUUGGGUGGCUUCCUGGCCCAGAAGUUUGCAGAGUUCACUUGCAAGUCCCCCAGGGUGCACUCUUUGAUACUGUGUAAUUCAUUCAGUGAUACCUCCAUCUUUAACCAGACAUGGACAGCGAACAGUUUUUGGUUGAUGCCAGCUUUCAUGUUGAAGAAGAUUGUUCUCGGGAAUUUUGCUAAAGGACCAGUCGACCCAGAAAUGGCCGGUGCGAUUGACUUCAUGGUUGAUAGGCUGGAGAGCCUAAACCAGAGAGAGCUGGCAUCCAGGUUAACGCUAAACUGUCAGAACUCUUAUGUGGAGCCACAUAAAAUAAAGGAGGUUGCUGUGACUAUUAUAGAUGUUUUUGAUCAGAGUGCACUCUCUUUAGAAGCAAAGGAAGAGAUGUAUAAAUUGUUUCCAAAUGCCAAACGAGCUCAUCUCAAAACUGGUGGAAACUUCCCGUACCUUUGCCGAAGUGCUGAUGUAAACCUCUACAUACAGGUUAGGAGACUGACCGGGCCACUCCAUAACUUGAAUGUGCUUCCUCAUCUAUUGCCCUAGAUGUUUCUUUGGUCACAUUUCUAGAAAUGAAUAAGGAGAUUGACAUUGCACUAGAUUCAUUUGCAUCAGUUCCAUGGAACACGGUAUGCUGCCAUUGACCCGGGUAUGGUGAGUGUUGAGGAACUGGAGGUCCAGGAGUGCCACCUGAAAACAUGCCAAGAAUCUGACGAAGACCAAUGACAAGCAUUUUGGAGCGCUGCAAAAAUUUAACUGAACCUUUUUGAUUAAAAAUGAAAUUGAUCAUAAAACAUUUUGUCUAUGUAUAUUGUCAGUCAUCUAGUUCAGGGGUCCCCAACCCCCAGGCCGUGGACUGGUACCGGUCCGUGGAUCAUUUGGUACCAGGCUGCACAAGAAAGAAUAAAUUACUUGCAUUAUUUCCAUUGUA